AAACCAGCACCUCAAGUGGUCAGGAGGAUUAUUGGGCCUAAAGCAUCCGUAGCCUGUUCUGUAAGUUUCCGGUUAAAUCCAUUAGCUCAACUAAUGGGCCGCCGAAAAUACUGCAGAACUAGGGAGUGGGAGAGGUAGACGGUACUCGGUAGGAAGGGGUAAAAUCCUUUGAUCUCUCGAUGACCACCUGUGGCGAAGGCGGUCUACCAGAACACGUCCGACGGUGAGGGAUGAAAGCUGGGGGAGCAAACCGGAUUAGAAACCCCGGUAGUCC
rnacentral:rRNA from 1 species